AAGUGUUAUGUAGUCGACGUUCACAUAACACGAGUAGAGGAAAAACAACAUACAACACAUCAAAUUAUCGAACGAAUACCAAAUUCACAUGACUACUUAUAGCAUGACUUAUCCCUUGUCCUCAGGAACAAAAGUAACUACUCACAAAGCAUAAUCAUAUUGAUGACCAGAGAGGUUAUGAGUAGCAUCAAAGAUCUGAACAUAUAAUCUUCCACCAAAUAAUCCAACUAGCAUCAACUACAAAGAGUAAUUAACACUACUAGCAAGCUUACAAGUACCAAUCGGAGUCGCGAGACGGAGAUUGGUUACAAGAGAUGAACUAGGGUUUGGAGAUGAGAUGGUGCUGAUGAAGAUGUUGAUGGUGACGAGUCCCCUCCGAUGAGAGGAGUGUUGGUGAUGACGAUGGCGACGAUUUCCCCCUCCGGGAGGGAAGUUUCCCCCGCAGGAUCGUCCUGCCGGACCUCUAGAUUGGUUCUGCUCAAGUUCCGCCUCGUGGCAGCGGCGAAUCCUCCGAAAAGCCUCCUCCUGAUUUUUUAUGGAACGAAACCCUUCUUGUAGCAAAAGAGGGGGGCUAGAGGGCCAGCUGGGAGCCCACAAGCCCCUAGGCGCGGCCAGGGGGGUGGCCGUGCCUACCAGGCUUGUGGCUUCCUGCUGGCGCCCCUCUUGUACUUCUUCGGCCUAGUAUUUUUCAUAAAAUCCAAAAUAAAUCCCCGUUGAUUUUCACGGCUUUUGGAGUUGCACAGAAUAGAUAUCUCAAACUUGCUCCUUUUUCAGGCCAGAAUUCCAGCUGUCGGCAUUCUCCCUCUUCAUGUAAACCUUGCAAAAUAAGAGAGAACAGGCAUAAGUAUUGUACCGUGAAGUGUAAUAACA
rnacentral:lncRNA from 1 species